CGGCCGCCCUCCCCGCAGAGCCAGCCCCGGGCUGGCCGGGGGCCAGGCAGCCAGACGCCAGCCCGGGCUCCCAGCGCCGGGAGAGGCCGCCCGGCCUGCCACACAAUGGCAUUAUCUGGGGCCGAGCAGCGCCGCAGAAAGCCGCGCUGCUUCCUGUGCUCCGAGCCGCGGGCAGGGCCCGCUCGGCCGCCGGGCCCCGCGCAAACCUCCCGAGGCGCCUCCGGCCUGGGAUUUACAGCGCCCGCAGGCAGCCGUGCCUUGUAUUUUUAGUCUCUGCUGUCAUGAUCGACAAGAUCUAUGAAGAUUUAUAAUGCUUCUUUUCUUAAAUGAAGACUUGAAGAAAACUGAUUCACUGCCGGACAGAAUUCACUGGGCAGAAGGAAGGAGCAAAGCAAGAGAAUUGACUGUGAUGCAGAGCAACCACCCCACUUCUAGGUUAACAAGGUUGCCUCUGUGAAUAUCACUUGGCUGCUGCAUUUCUUUCUUCACUUGACCAAGAUUUAAUUGGAACUCUGCCACAGAUUUUCCAAUGUGACAUGAGAUGAAUCAUACAAUCUGAAAUUCUACUCUUUAUCAUUUUAAACGGAGUAGUAACAUCCAGUGGGUUGUUUUGUUUUGUUUUGUUUUGUUUUGUUUUGCUGGAUGUGUUUUGGAAAACAAAGGCAUUAUCCCCUGUCUCUGAAAGUAAUGCUGUAAUGCAUAUAAUUGAAACAUUAAAAUAAUUUGGAAUAUUUGAGGAGCAACACUCAAUUGUUUAUUUAAUCUUUCCAUUUGCUUUCUUAGUACUGUUUUCUUUCUUUUAGCACUAUCAAAAAUAAUGGUUAAAAAAUUAAUUAACAUUUUUUAAAAACUCAAUAUAUAUUUUGAAAAAAUAAAAGCAGAAAAAAUUAUAUUAAUUGAAAGGAUAGGAAUGAAGUAAUGUAUUCAAGCUUUUUUUCAUAACCACUCUUUGUAUUGCAAGA